CAAAACUGGUGUAAAAGCUAUUAUAAUAGAGUUGUAAAAUCAAAAACCUCGCUAGCGGUUUGACGUUUGCCGUAAACGUCAAUCUUAAGGUCUCUAUAUUAACGUUUACGGCAAACGUCAAACCGCUAGCGAAGUUUUUGAUUUUACCACUCUAUUAUAAUAGCUUUUACACCAGUUUGG
rnacentral:miRNA from 1 species